CACUCUUGUUCCUGCUGCUCCUGUUUUGCUGUGUGGUCAUCUUACCACACGGUGGACAACUCCUUCCUGAAUCUACCUCCAUCCAUUGCCAUCAGUCUGGUUGUGCCCUCCACGACAGACACAGGCAAGUCAUCCAGGUGCCAAGCUGCCUUCCACCAUUUUGCUUGCAGAAGCUGCCCUGUUGGUUGGCUAAUGAGCGAAAGAAGAGAGUGCAUGGAGAGCGACAGGUACAAAGACCCACGGCAUUCAAAAACACUUUACUGUGUAAAACUCCUUAAGACUUGAUAAAUCCUAUGAGAAGAAAUCUUUGGGAAGAUGAGUAUGCUGGUUUGAGGCUAACUGGAAUAUUUUAAUGAGAGAAAAUACAUCAUUGCUUGUAAAAAGAAAAUAAUGAUGAAGUCUAUAUCAUUCUUUGGCUUGCUGAGAGGGAUAAAAAGUCAAAAUGUAAACAGUUUGUCCCACUCUGAUCUGUAAUGAUGGAUUAAUUCACUUCCUCCUCACUUCGCUCUACUAUCUUUUGUACUCAUCUCAUCUAACUCCUAACAACAUAAGCUUUGCUGGUUGCUUUGUUUGUCUGUCUGGGAAAGUAGAAGCAAAAAGAGAGAGUAGCUUUAAGCCCCUUCUGGGCAGCUUUGUUCAGGAGGGAGUUCAAAUUUCUGUAUUAUUUCUAAUUCACAUCGAGUUGCAAAUAUUUGUAAAUAUAUUGCAUAUAUAUGCUUGUAAAUUUUGCUUUGUUGCAAAUAAAGCUUCAUCUUAGUUCCA